GGGUGUCCGGCAAUGGAGAGAGGAGGAGAGGAGCGGCCGUGGUGAGCGGAGCGGUGGGUGAUAGUGAGGAGGCAAAACCGGAGCUACCGCUAUAGAGGGGGAGAUCCUGAGUGCUUCUGCCGGAGAGAGACGGGGACUCCCGUGUAGCCAAGCUGCGACCCCAUCCCCCCAUUAGCCGGCUGUGAAGAAGAGGCUGGAGCGCAGGAACCAAGAGGCAGGAACGCGUCACCAGAUGAGUCGUUACCGAUCUACUGACUGAGCUUCUGCAGCGCCAGCACUAUCCUGUUAUAUGAUGGGACGUCCAUUCUCCAUCUCGCUGGUUGAAGGCGGCUCCAGUGGUAGCGGUAUCCCCUGAGGUAACAAAGAAAUCUAUUGUCCCUUGAUUCAUAUCAGUGCCUUACUAAUAACGCAAAAAAUUUAUGCGGUUCAGCAGCAUCUAGAUGCGUUCAUCCUUAGCACCAGCCAGGAAGAGCCAGUGUUUGGCAGGAAGGAAUCGCUGGGGUCUCGGUGAGAGACGAGUUGCCUAGCAACGUUGAAGUGAUUUCCGGGAUCGGCUCCCUGCCCGGCGCUGUCUGCUGACGUCAGCGCCCUGCGACCCGUGGAUCUCGCGGAUGGACGCGGUGGCGGCAGC